UACGUAGGCAGCAAGCGUUGUUCGGAGUUACUGGGCGUAAAGGGUGCGUAGGCGGCUCUAUAAGUAUGGUGUGAAAUCUCCCGGCUUAACUGGGAGGGUGCGCUAUAGACUGUGGGGCUAGAGGGUGGGAGAGGAAAGUGGAAUUCCUGGUGUAGCGGUGAAAUGCGUAGAUAUCAGGAGGAACACCGGUGGUGUAAACGGCUUUCUGGACCACUUCUGACGCUGAGGCACGAAAGCGUGGGUAGCAAACAGG
rnacentral:rRNA from 2 species